rnacentral:tRNA from 1 species
AUAAAGAUAAUUAGGCUGUAAGCAUCGGAUUCAUAACCCGAAGGUCGGCAGUUCAAGUCUGCUUCUCGAUA